AGCCACAAAGGGUAGUUGGCAUUUAUAGAGAUAGCACUGUAUCAAGAAAAGACUAUUUAAACUGAUUGAAAAGGGGUAUGUACCUCUUCUUCUGAGGGCAAUCUACUGUACAAAAGUACAGUACAUCUGUUCUUACUGAGGAAAAGAGCAUCAUGGAUGACAGUUCUACAUCAGUGUCAGUCGGAAUAGCUGUAGCAUUUGGCAUCUUAGGGUUGUUCCUGCUGAUCUGUUUGGUUCAAAUGUGCUGCAAGAAACUCAAAUGCUGCAAAGAGUGCAAAAAGCCUUCAGCAAAAGACAAAAUUUUAAAGAAAGUUGGCCUGAAGAAAUCCUCUUCUCCAUUUUCUAUCAGCAGCAUUGUUGAGAAAAAAUAACUCCCAUCACUGUAUACAGCCAUCACCAUCAAUGUAGCAUUUUCUCCAUGUCUGUAAAAAUUGUACAUCUUGAAAGUUCCCCCAAAAAUGAAAAUUCACCCUCAUGCCAUCCCAGAUGUGUAUGUCUUCCUUUCUUCUGCUGAAAAAAAAUGAAGAAUAUCUCUGCUCUGCAGGUCCAUUCAAUGCAAAUGAAUGGUGGCCAGAAAUUUGAAGGUCAAAAAAGCACAUAUAGCAAAAAAAGUAAUCCAUAUGAUGCCAGUGGUUAAAUGUAUAUCUUCAGAAGCGACAUGAUAGGUGUGGGUGAGAAAUAUUCAAGUAAUUUUUUAUUAUAAAUUCUCCUCCCUGCCCAGUAGGUAGCAAUAUGCACAAAGAAUAUGAAUCGCCAAAAACAAAAGAAGAAUGGGAAAGUGAAAGUGCAAGUGAAGAUUUAUAGGGGGGAAAAAAGACUUAAAUAUUGAUCUGUCAUUAUUUACUCCAAAUCUGUAUGACUUUAUUUAUUCUAAGGAAAAUAAUUUGAGAAUGUUUUAAUAAUGUACUUUUCCCUUUGUCCCAAUUAAAUGAAAGGGAACUGGAACAUUUAAGCUUUGGAAAUGAAGAAAAAGCACCAGAAUGUAUCAUAAAAGUGGUCCAGUCUUUGGAAGUUAUAUUUUGUGUAACAAACAGACUGAAAUUAACAUCAAUUUUCACUUAAAAUCUUCAUAUCCACCGUAGCUCUUUUUUGUGCACAUGAGAGAAGUAGCAACAAAUCAUUCAGUUUUGUGAACUUGAUCAACUGUAUAAUUUAAAAGAUUUGAAUCUAAAAAAAUUAUUUGUUCAUGAAUUGGACAUCACUACUUCUCUCAUGAGCUCUCAUGAAAGCGGCAAGGAGAGCUAUGGUGGAUAUCACAAUUUUCAGGUAAUAACGACUUAAAUUACAGUCUGUUUCUCAAACAAAGCUAUCGUUUGGCUUCAGAAAACCUGGAAUAUAGCACACAAAUCAUAUGCACUACUUUUAUGAUACUGUUAUGGAGCUUUUACAUCCUUUUUGAAAUGUCAAAGCUCCAAUCCCCAUUCUUUGCAAUUGAAUGGAAAAGAAGGACCCAUAUAUAUAUAUAUAUAUAUAUAUAUAUAUAUAUAUAUAUAUAUAUAUAUAUAUACAUAUAAUUUUUUUUAAUUGUUUUUUUUUUUUAUUUUUAAUUUUUUUUUUUUAAUAUACAUCUUCUUUUGUGUUCCACUAAAGAAAUAAAGUCACAUGGGCUUGAACAGCAUGAGGGUGUUUUUAUUUAUUUUUUUCCAUUGGAUGAACGGUUCCUUUAAAGGAACAUUCAGGGUAAAAUACAACUUAAUCUAUAACUUUUUCAAGAACAUAAAGGAUGCUGUCAGUUACCAUGGAAAAUAAUUUUCACUUUAUGAUUGUAGUGCAUUUACAAUGGAAGCAUAUAGGACAAAUUUACAACACUUGAAAUUGUAUUUAUUUUCAUGUUAUGAUGUGAAAGUGUUUGUCCAUGUAAAUUUCUGUAAAUUGCGUGAAUCACACUUCUGAGGUAAAGUUGUCUAUGAGGGGGAUGUUGUAUGAUUCACAACUGGUAAGGUAAAACGUUUUCUCACAGUUUAGGAAAAGCAAAACAUAUUAAUGUUACUGAGAAUGAUUUUCCGAUUGUUUCUCUCAAUCUCUGACUCAGUGUUUUGUCUCAUCCUAUUUUUCACAGUUUUCAGUCUCACUACAGAAACACAGAAAAGUAUUCUUCUCAAGCUGAACCAUUUUCACAUAAAAUAGCUUUAAAAGGUCACCACCCUGCAGUAUAGAUAGAAGAGUUGUACUCAAAACGCUCUUUGGUCCCUGUGGACAGAUCAUAUCACCACUGUGAUUUCUUAAUGACAGUGGAAAUUUAUAUAAGGAUUUGCUCUUGAGUGAUGUAUUUCCUGUUAAGUAAUAUUACAUGUGUGAAGAAAUAGGGAUGUCAAGUCAUUUACUGUAUGAUGAUAUUUGAGAUACAGGAAAAUGUAUUCACAUUACCAACAUUAGUUGUCAUUUGAGAAGUAUUAGUGUGGGAUGAGGUGUGGUGCAUUUACAAUAAAUUUUUAUAUGUGUUGAUAUUAUUAAAAUAACCGGCUCUGUUGGCAUAUACGUAUGUAAUAUAUGUAAACAUGUAUUUAAGCAAACUGUAAAAAGAAGUAACCUGCAAUUGUUACCUUAAGGAGCUAUUUCUACUUUUUGUUUUGUUGGUGUAACAUAAUGAAAUCAGGUUGAUUCAGUGAUAUUAAAA